rnacentral:rRNA from 1 species
GAUGAACGCUAGCGAUAGGCCUAACACAUGCAAGUCGAGGGGCAUCACAUGAAGUAGCAAUACGGAUGGUGGCGACCGGCGCACGGGUGAGUAACACGUAUGCAACCUGCCUUCAACAAGGGGAUAACCCGUUGAAAGACGGACUAAUACCCUAUAACACAGGGGUCCCGCAUGGGAAUAUUUGUUAAAGGACAACCGGUUGAAGAUGGGCAUGCGUUCCAUUAGCUAGUUGGCGGGGUAACGGCCCACCAAGGCAACGAUGGAUAGGGGAACUGAGAGGUUUAUCCCCCACACUGGUACUGAGACACGGACCAGACUCCUACGGGAGGCAGCAGUGAGGAAUAUUGGUCAAUGGACGCAAGUCUGAACCAGCCACGUCGCGUGAAGGAAGACGGCCCUACGGGUUGUAAACUUCUUUUAUACGGGAAUAAAGUGCCCCACGCGUGGGGUUUUGCAUGUACCGUAUGAAUAAGGAUCGGCUAACUCCGUGCCAGCAGCCGCGGUAAGUACGCAGCGA